rnacentral:rRNA from 1 species
AAUAGCGUAUAUUAAAGUUGUUGCAGUUAAAAAGCUCGUAGUUGAAUUUUGAUGGGUUCCCGAGAGGGUUCAAUUCGCCCAGGUAGUCGGCCGAGAGGCCUGUACAGCUUGGGAGAAGCCUAUCUUUUGGAGCGUUGGGGCAACUCACACUCCUUGUUUACUUUGAAUAAAAGAGACUGUUCAAAGAAGGCGUUCGCUUAAAUCUCUUAGCAUGGCAUAAUAAAAUAUGACUCUGAGUCUAUUUUGUUGGUUCCUAGAUACAGGGUAAUGAUAAAUAGGAACGGUUGGGGCCCUUGAUACUGCGCAGCUAGAGGUGAAGUUCUUGGAUUUGCGCAUGAUCAACUUCUGCGAAGGCAUUGGGCAAGGACGUUUUCAUUAAUCAAGAACGAAAGAUAAGGGAUCGAAGAUGAUUAGAUACCGUCGUAGUCUUAUCAGUAAACUAUGCCGUCUGACAAUCGCGCGGUGUUAAUUUAAAACGACCCGCGCGGCGGUCCGAGAGAAAUCAAAGAUUUUGGGUUCCGGGGGGAGUAUGGUCGCAAGACUGAAACUUAAAGGAAUUGACGGAAGGGCACCACCAGGAGUGGAGCUUGCGGCUUAAUUUGACCCAACACGGGGAAACUUACCAGGUCCAGACAUUAGAAGGAUUGACAGGUUGAUAGCCCUUUCUUGAUUUGAUGGGUGGUGGUGCAUGGCCGUUCUUAGUUGGUGGUGUGAACUGUCUGCUUGAUUGCGAUAACGAACGAGACCUCCACCGUUAAAUAGUAUCGCCGAGUUCACUGGGCGAGGCUUCUUAGCGGGACUGCGCGUUUCAAGCGCGAGGAAGUUGGAGGCAAUAACAGGUCUGUGAUGCCCUUAGAUGUUCUGGGCUGCACGCGCGCUACACUGCGUACAGCAACGAGUUGAGGUGGGGGGGGCAACUCUUCCACUACCUGGGCCGAUAGGUUUGGGAAAUCUCUUUAAAUGUACGCGUGAUUGGGCUAGAUGAUUGCAAUUAUUCAUCUUCAACGAGGAAUUCCUAGUAAGUGCGUUUCAUCAGAGCGCGCUGAUUACGUCCCUGCCCUUUGUACACACCGCCCGUCGCUCCUACCGAUUGGAUAUUCCGGUGAGGUUUCGGGAGAUUGGGUUUCCAGGGCAACCUGGUUACUUGGUCAAACUUACCCAAAUCAUAAUAUCUAGAGGAAGGAGAAGUC